CUGGUCUUGACAUCCAUAGAAUUCCUUAGAAAUAAGAAAGUGCCUUAGGGAACUAUGAGACAGGUGCUGCAUGGCUGUCGUCAGCUCGUGUUGUGAAAUGUUGGGUUAGGUCCCGCAACGAGCGCAACCCUUAUCCCCUGUUGCCAUCGGUUCGGCCGGGAACUCAGAGGAGACUGCCGGUUAUAAACCGGAGGAAGGUGGGGACGACGUCAAGUCAUCAUGGCCCUUACGACCAGGGCUACACACGUGCUACAAUGGUUUAUACAAAGAGAAGCAAAUCUGUAAAGACAAGCAAACCUCAUAAAGUAAAUCGUAGUCCGGACUGGAGUCUGCAACUCGACUCCACGAAGUCGGAAUCGCUAGUAAUCGUGGAUCAGAAUGCCACGGUGAAUACGUUCCCGGGUCUUGUACACACCGC
rnacentral:rRNA from 2 species